UGAAGUUUGCUUAAAUAGGGCCUGUGU
rnacentral:piRNA from 1 species